AGAGCGAACGCUGGCGGCAGGCCUAACACAUGCAAGUCGAGCGCCCGUAGCAAUACGGGAGCGGCAGACGGGAUAGUAACACGUGGGAACGCGCCCUUCGGUUCGGAAUAACUCAGGGAAACUUGAGCUAAUACCGGAUACGCCCUUACGGGGAAAGAUUUAUUGCCGAAGGAACGGCCCGCGUCCGAUUAGCUAGUUGGUGAGGUAAUGGCUCACCAAGGCGACGAUCGGUAGCUGGUCUGAGAGGAUGACCAGCAUCACUGGGACUGAGACACGGCCCAGACUCCUACGGGAGGCAGCAGUGGGGAAUAUUGGACAAUGGGCGCAAGCCUGAUCCAGCCAUGCCGCGUGGAUGAUGAAGGCCUUAGGGUUGUAAAGCUCUUUUGUGCGGGAAGAUAAUGACGGUACCGCAAGAAUAAGCCCGGCUAACUUCGUGCCAGCAGCCGC
rnacentral:rRNA from 1 species